rnacentral:lncRNA from 1 species
AAUAAAGUAUAUUAUUGUCGGAGUGCUCUAGGGGUUUCCCAUCCAUUUGGCAUAUUUUUGCGUCAAUGGCACAUGAGCCACUACUUCUUUAAAAUUUGGCAGUUCUCGGUCCCAAAGGGUGAGUCGGCUGGAUUGUUGCAUGAAGGUGCUUUGGCUUUCCAUUCUGGAGGAUUUAGGUUUGAUUCUUUGGUUCCACUCCUUGAGGGUGAAUAUCAUAGGGUCCGGGUCUGGCCUAUCAAUUCCUGCCCUCCACGGUCUGGCUGGCCUUUUCAUAGGAUGGAUGGACUGUGGAAGGUCCUGUUUUGCUCUGUUACUCUGAGCCAGCUCAAAGCACUUUGAAAACAGAUACUCAUCAAAAAAAGUAAUGCUCUCUGUUUGGUGGGAUUUCAAGGUAAUUAUU